UUGGGGUUUAUUUGUGAUCAAAGAUUUUACAUUUUAUUGGGGACUUUCCGUUUUGAAUUUUCCUUGGCAUUCAUUAUCUUUUGUGAUUUUACUUUUGUUUAAUUUACAUUUAUGUUUCAUCACUCCGAUAUGUUUAUCUUAAUAUCAUUAUAUCAUAUAGCAAUAUCUAGUUACAAUAUUAUAGUGUUAUUCAUUUGAAAUUUGACAAGUGUUCGAAACUCGCAGAAAGCUGCAUACAGUAGUGUGUCACUAAUUCAUAAAAAAAUGUCAUGGUCUAACCAAUUCUAUUGUCCCUUCAAAUACAUUGUGAAUCGAUCAGAAUGGCCUGUAACAUCGUACUGGCCAGAAAUACUACAGCUGUCCGGUGACAGUUGGCCAUUAUAAUUUACGCUGUGUUUUCCAUUGUAUUGCUUUAGAAACUCUACUGUUCCAUGGCGAACAUCCCAGCUACCUUGUAUGUUGUAAGAACCUAUUUCAUCAACUCCUUCACCGGUAAUGUCGCCAUUAACACAAACAAACUUAAGCUUGAUUGCAAAAGUAUGUUCCUUUCCAAAUUGAUUGUAAGUUCCAUACCAAACUCAUGACUGCGGAUUGUA
rnacentral:lncRNA from 1 species